rnacentral:lncRNA from 1 species
UCAGCAGGUUGUAAUUUUCCUCGAGCUCUGUUUGUCUCUCUCUCUCUCAGGAGCAGGAGGUUGUGGUUCGUGCGACCAAGAGCCCCAGCGCGAGCCCCAGCACCAGCGAUCAGGUAGGCCUUUCUCCAUCACGUCUCCCUCUCCCUUUCUCUGUCCGUGUCUCACUCUCCCUAUCUCUCCCUUUCUCUAUCCGUGUCUCCCUCUCCCUCUCUCUAAUUCACUUGUCUCUAUCUAAUUCACUUAUUUGUUUUAUGGCAGGCAUGUCCAGCGCGGUGCUCUACGGCAAUUACCCGGGGUCCUCCUUGUGGCAGGAGGCCACCCCGGGCCAGCGGACGGCCGCCAUGGCUGGCUGCAUCGUUCUGGCUACCGCCGUCGUCUUGGCAGUGAGCUGGUGUUUCAGCAAGGCCAAGGCGAAGCCCAAGGCGACCGCGUGCCUGCAGCGAAUCGCCAGACGGUGUUAGCUGGUGAGAAGUAAUAAAUGAUUGACAGGGGAUUGAUGUAUGUGAUGUUAGAGGGUGUUUGGAUCACUAGAGACUAAAGACUAGUAGUAGUCACCUUUAAUCAGUAAACCUUCAAACACCCCUGACUAAUGGGUGACUAAAACUAGUUUAGUCCCUAGUCACCCCACCCCCAACUUUUACUGACUAAAGUCUCUUCUCUAAUUAAUUGGCGGACCCAUCCUGUUGCGGGCUCAUCCUCCCAUGCGGGCACGCCAAUUGAAAAAAGAUAAAUGAGAAGAUAAAUGAAAGGAAGAGAGAAUAAUUUAAUACUGAGACAUUUAAUGCUGACUAGUAGUAGUCACCUUUCAAACAGGGCCUCACUACAAACUUUUAGUCUGACUACUACUAGUCACAUGACUAGAGAGUAUCCAAACACCCUCUUAUAUAUAAUCUUGAUGUCUUGUGUAUCUGCAUGUUUACUUUUGUAUUUGCAUGUAGUAGUGUGUUUGUGCAGAGAUACGUGCGAGGCGUACACCUGGUGGUUCAGUUGGAAGAGCAUGUAUGGAGAGACUCCAACGUGCAGUGAGAAGCUGUUGCAUGCAAAGAUCUGAAGCUAACAGGAUGCACAAGUUAUCUAGGAAGUUGUUAUACAUGCAUGUGUUAGUGGCAUAAGAAUAGGUCGUGGCUUAGUUGGUUAGUGGAGCAGGUCGUGUGCGCAAGAUCCGGGCAUGUUGGCCGGGCACCGUGUGCGAGCUAGCUACUUAAAGCGUUGUAAUCCAGUUUAUUUGAAAAGGUGAAAAAGUGUGAAGAAAACUUGUGGCUGUGUGACACAACGCAAGGCCAAAAUCCUUUGUAUCUCGUCUGAUCUGUGAGACGCAGUAGAGGGAGGGGGGUUUCAGGGAGUUGAGAGAAUCAGCUCCAACAUUCAAGAGAAGGCUGUGCCAACAUUUGGUAUCGGACUAAGGUUAUCGAUGUCGCGUGACUCUUCAGCGAGUGGAGCGUUGGUGUCGAGGGACUCGGCGGAGACGACGGUGGCCGCGACGGCGCUCGCGGCGACGGCGGCAGCGGGGAAGCUUCCAUUCCCGUUGCUAACAAGGACGAACUACGCGGCGUGGGUGAUGAGGAUGAAGUACCUCUUGCGAGCCAACGACGCAUGGGCUGUUCUUGAUCGCGAGGCGUCGUCCACGGAGGUCGACAAGGGCAAGGAGGAGAUGGCCAUGACGAUCAUCUCCCAGUCGAUCGACGACACGACGCUGCUGCGUGUAGCGGAGAAGGAGACCGCGGCUGAUGUGUGGGCGGCGCUACGCUCCAUGCACGUUGGCGACGAGCGCGUCCGGGAGGCGAGGAUUCAGUCCUUGCGCUCGGAGUUUGAUGGCCUCAAGAUGGGUGAUGCGGAGUCCGUGAAUGAUUUCGCGGCGAGGUUCACAAAGCUCGUGGGACGCAUCCGUGAGCUUGGUGAUCCGUUGGAGGAGAAGUAAGUUGUGAAGAAGCUGCUGCGAGCUGUCUCCAACAAGUUCAUCCACGUUGCGUCGUCAAUUGCGUUGUUCGGCGACACCAACAAGAUGGCCAUGGAGGAGGCCAUUGGUUCGCUCAAGGCACAUGAGGAGCUCGUCAAGGGGCGGGAGAUAGGACAAGAAGAAGAGCAGCUCCUCAUAGCAAGAGGGCAUGACUCAAUGCAAGGACGCGACCGUGGUGGCCGUGGCCGUGGCCGCGGACAUGGCCGUGAUGAAGGGCGCAGAGACAAGAGCGAGGUACAGUGUUAUAACUGUGAUGACUUUGGUCACUUUGCUUGGGAGUGUCCGUCGAAGAAGGAGAAUGAGGAGAAGGCACUGUUGGCUGGCUACGCCAGCAACGGACCGGCCCUUCUUUGAAGUUUCUGGGUGAAGAAUGGGCAUCAAGAUUAGGAGGUUGAAUGUUAGAUAUAAUCUUGAUGUCUUGUGUAUCUGCAUGUUUACUUUUGUAUUUGCAUGUAGUAGUGUGUUUGUGCAGAGAUAUGUGCGAGGCGUACAUCUGGUGGUUCAGUUGGAAGAGCAUGUAUGGAGAGACUCCAACGUGCAGCGAGAAGCUGUUGCAUGCAAAGAUCUAAAGCUAACGGGAUGCACAAGUUAUCUAGAAAGUUGUUAUACAUGCAUGUGUUAGUGGCAUAAGAAUAGGUCGUGGCUUAGUUUGUUAGUGGAGCAGGUCGUGUGCGCAAGAUCCGGGCAUGUUGGCCGGGUACCGUGUGCGAGCUAGCUACUUAAAGUGUUGUAAUCCAGUUUAUUUGAAAAGGUGAAAAAGUGUGAAGAAAACUUGUGGCUGUGUGACACUGCGCAAGGCCAAAAUCCUUUGUAUCUCGUCCGAUCUGUAAGACGCAGUAGAGGGAGGGGGUUUC